AGGGAUUUGCCCCAGGUAACGGCGGAGUGAAGCGGCAAAAGCUCAAUUUUGAAAUCCCCCCGGGGAGUUGUAAUUUGAAGGCGGAGGAGUUUGGCCUAAGCGCGCGCAAGUCCAUUGGAACAUGGCGCCUAAGAGGGUGAGAGCCCCGUCGCGCACGCAGCAGCCUCAACACCCCCCCGCCAAAGAGUCGAGUUGUUUGGGAAUGCAGCUCAAAGUGGGUGGUAAAUUCCAUCUAAAGCUAAAUAUUGGCGAGAGACCGAUAGCGAACAAGUACAGUGAUGGAAAGAUGAAAAGCACUUUGAAAAGAGAGUGAAACAGUACGUGAAAUUUGUUGAAAGGGAAGGGCUUGCAAGCAGACACGAGUUCGCUCGGGCCAGCAUCAAUUUCGCGAGGUGGACAACACGCCAGGAACGUGGCAGGCUCCGGCCUGUGUUAUAGCCUGCGCGCCAUACACCUCCGCGAGAUUGAGGCCUGCUCCAAAAGGAUGCUGGUGUAUU
rnacentral:rRNA from 1 species